GAAAAAACAGUUGUGCUCAUUUGGUGGAGGAACAUGGCAUUGUGUAGGUAUUUUAUUUUGCAUUUGUUUAACUAACAGCAGUUUGAAUAUUUAAAAAAUGUCUUUAUUGGACUUUUGUAUUUCUCCUUGGUCAGUGAAUAUUUCUGUUGAGGGUUUAGUUAAGCUACUUGAUGGCAUUGCUGCUUUGGCAUCCAUUUUGUUUUGGCCAAGCGGCCUACAGAGACCUUAAACAGACACCAGCCACUCCUGUAGCACUUGCCCUGGAGAUCAGCCCAGAGAAUCACAAGCGAAUGUUAAGUUCCUCGGACAGCUUCGCUUUAGAUCAAAAGCCUCCUCUGCCUCUCAGGGCCUUCCUCUUGUUCACCCCUUAGAUAAAACCCCUAAGGAAUUUACCAAACUUCACUCUUUUCAUCCGUAGACCCUAAGAAAGGCAUGGCCCCAGAUCCGAUCUCUCUGUCUGCACCCUACCUUGACCUUCUCAUGUGGUCCCUUAAUGUAUUUCCUUUAGGACUUUGCAACUAGCGGAGUAAAUGAUAAGAUAUCUGUUAAUGCUGAAGAAACGAAGGCAAUGAAGAAGAACAUUAGAUAGUGACAUCAGAUGUUAUUAGGAUUCGAACACUUGUCUUCAAUGGAAUUUGUGUAUCGAUGUGUCUCUCUCAUGCGGCAAGAUAUCUCCUGAAGCUUCUUCCUAACCCCUUCCAUCAACCCUAGAUCAUACCUGGAUCAGAUUCAAUCUAAGGUUAAGGCAGAGAACGACUAAACCAGAGCCAGGCAGAUUGAGACAGUGGAUGCUCCAAAUGGUUUAAGGAAAUGAUGUCAUUCGUUGCAAACGUGGGUCCCAUUGAGUCAGAAUUCAGAAGAGCAAUGGAGCUACAAAAUGCUGGCUUGAGCAUCAGCUGCAUGUGGGAGGUCACGAGUUUGUAUUAAAACCAUUCCACGCAAAUGUAUGAUCUUCACGAGCCCCACCAGAAAUUGACUUCCAUUUUGGUGAUUGAGGACAGAGUGAAAAUAAUCUCAGAAGAUAGUUUAUGAUAAAGAGGUGGGGCCAGAGCAGUGUGCAGUCAGAGGUUAAUUAUUCCCCCCUGGUGAGGUGUACAAUGGAGUGUUAGAUAAUUCUAUCAUUACGCAGUGCUUGCCAUGUGCUGCUGCUGUAGGAGGUGACGUGUCCUUACAGUGUGAUUUGGUCAAAGUCAGAAUUCAGCCUGAGAUAUUAGCGGAAACAACUGUUCAUACACAUGCUACACGGAUGGACUAGGCGAUCACUUACACAAAACCAAGGACACCGCCAUCCCACACGAAAAAAUUUAAUUAAGGAUCUAUUUUUAGUAAGUAGAAGGGAGCAACUUCUGAAGUUUUUGAAGAAGUUAAUCAUUUGUAUGGGUCACGUCUCAUCACCCUGGAAACCUGAAAGAGAUAAGUUUAAGAACAGUGAUAAGAUAUAUUGUUUUAUGUUUUUAUGUAGGAUUUAACACCUUGAGUAUAUAU